rnacentral:rRNA from 1 species
GUCUAUGGCGAUAGCGAAGAGGUCACACCCGUUCCCAUACCGAACACGGAAGUUAAGCUCUUCAGCGCCGAUGGUAGUCGGGGGUUUCCCCCUGUGAGAGUAGGACGCCGCCAAGC